rnacentral:rRNA from 1 species
UACAGAGGGGGCAAGCGUUGUUCGGAAUUACUGGGCGUAAAGGGCGCGUAGGCGGCCCGCUAAGUCGAACGUGAAAUCCCCGGGCUCAACCCUGGGAACUGCGUCCGAUACUGGCAGGCUUGAAUCCGGGAGAGGGAUGCGGAAUUCCAGGUGUAGCGGUGAAAUGCGUAGAUAUCUGGAGGAACACCGGUGGCGAAGGCGGCAUCCUGGACCGGUAUUGACGCUGAGGCGCGAAAGCCAGGGGAGCAAACGGG